UUAACUUUCCUACUUGUAUUGCGGGUUAAUUGGUCAUUGACUAUGCUUCAACACAACGAAAAAAGCUAGAGGCUUCUUCUUCUUCUUCUUCUUCAGCCAAACUGCUACAGAUAAUUGAGAUGGAGACGGACACAGCAACCAGAUAUCUAAUAGAGAUCAAUGGUGCUUCCGGCUACUAAAUGGUGGUUUGAUACCCUUUCUUCCAAUAUAUACAUAUUCUGCAUGCCUGCCCUCUGUUUCAGAUCCUCUACUAACCAGAUUGUUACGAUUCAAAUUGGCUUACACAAGUUACAAGAAGUAAUGCACCUCAUCAGCAGCCUCCUUAUCAUGGUAUCGUGUAGUUCUUUUGGUUGUGCGCGUCAUUCCAUCUUUGUAAAUUUGAUGAAACUCAGGGGCGAGUCCCAAAAUGGAUUGCUUGAUGUUCACUAGCCUUGUCUCCCUCACCAUCACAUCAUAAGCUUUAUCCAAUCUCAUUAAUUCUGGAUCAGUUGAUGCUUGAGAUGGAUUAACUUGAUGGCCAUCAUCGAUCACUUUUGGGAAGUGGCGCUUCCUAUUUUCUUCCGGAUGUUUCGGUUUGUAAUUCAGAUUUUCAGGAAUUGCGAAUAACCUCAUGCGUGCUCUCGGUAUAAACUGUAGUUCUUCUGCUGCUGUAUGAAAAUGUGGAUGUACACAUAUCAUUUCCAGAUGUCUCCUGAAUGUGCAACCAACAUGAAGACAAAAUGGAAGAGAUUAUAUUUCCAGAAUGGGAAAAUGCAGAGAACUAAUACGUA